rnacentral:rRNA from 1 species
UACGUAGGGUGCAAGCGUUGUCCGGAAUUAUUGGGCGUAAAGAGCUCGUAGGCGGUUUGUCGCGUCUGCUGUGAAAACUCGGGGCUUAACUCCGGGCCUGCAGUGGGUACGGGCAGACUAGAGUGCGGUAGGGGAGACUGGAAUUCCUGGUGUAGCGGUGAAAUGCGCAGAUAUCAGGAGGAACACCGGUGGCGAAGGCGGUCUGCUGGGGUCGAACUGACGCUGAUGCGCGACAGCGUGGGGAGCAAACAGG